rnacentral:rRNA from 1 species
GGUGAACGCUGGCGGCGUGCCUAAUACAUGCAAGUCGGGCGAACGGACGAGAAGCUUGCUUCUCUGAUGUUAGCGGCGGACGGGUGAGUAACACGUGGAUAACCUACCUAUAAGACUGGGAUAACUUCGGGAAACCGGAGCUAAUACCGGAUGAUAUUUUGAACCGCAUGGUUCAAAAGUGAAAGACGGUCUUGCUGUCACUUAUAGAUGGAUCCGCGCUGCAUUAGCUAGUUGGUAAGGUAACGGCUUACCAAGGCAACGAUGCAUAGCCGACCUGAGAGGGUGAUCGGCCACACUGGAACUGAGACACGGUCCAGACUCCUACGGGAGGCAGCAGUAGGGAAUCUUCCGCAAUGGGCGAAAGCCUGACGGAGCAACGCCGCGUGAGUGAUGAAGGUCUUCGGAUCGUAAAACUCUGUUAUUAGGGAAGAACAUAUGUGUAAGUAACUGUGCACAUCUUGACGGUACCUAAUCAGAAAGCCACGGCUAACUACGU